CCGGGGGGCGGCAGACCCCUCAUCUCUCCCCCUGCCUGUCGGCGGACGUUUCCUCAGGGAGCCCGGCCUAGGAGGUUUCCUCAGGGAGCGGCGGGUUGCGAAGGGCGAGCUCCCCCCCGGCUGGCUGAUUGAGGUGGUGGCGGGCGGCUGCUCCCCAGUUAACCCUGCCCGGGGGCAGCUGGCGCCGCUUCGAUUAGCUGCAGACCUCGAAGGUGGGUGCGAGGGGGGUACCCGCUGUCCCCCAGCCCUGUCCCGGGGCCGUCGAGGAACCGAGAAGCUGGGAGGCUAUAGUUAAUAUCAGAACGGCAACCUGGAGCCAGUCCCUCUGCCACUACUGGCAAUGGCCUAGCAGAUGCCUAUGAAAUGGCAUGUGCACAGUGAUUCUUCCUUGGGAAGAUCUCCUCGUUCUAGAGACACGAGAUACUGGGACUUCCUGAACCAUGUGCAGUGAUGGGAGUGCUUCACAAUGAUGAUGAUGCCUUUUUGACACUGCAGCUAACAGGCAUAAAUGAGAAAGCUAUUCCAACUGAAAUAUGAAAAUCCUACAAGGAUAUUCGACUGCAGAGAAGUAAAGACUGCAAGAUUGAACACUCACUUUAGAAGCACCCCAGAAGCAGACUCACUUCAUGAAGCCUUGAUCUGCACUACCAUGAAGAUCUGGAACUUUAAAUAGAUAAAAGGCAGAAGUCCAUACUAGGAGAUAAGCUCUGUUCUCUGCAGCAUGAUAACCCAUCAGGAAACAGAAAAGGUCCUGCCUGAUCUAAAGCUGUGGAAAUCCUUCAACUCAAAAGACAAG